rnacentral:rRNA from 1 species
ACCUCUAGCAUUACUAGUAUUAGAGGCACCGCCUGCCCAGUGACACACGUUUAACGGCCGCGGUACCCUGACCGUGCAAAGGUAGCAUAAUCACUUGUUCUCUAAAUAGGGACUCGCAUGAAUGGCAUCACGAGGGUUUAACUGUCUCUUACUUUCAACCAGUGAAAUUGACCUGUCCGUGAAGAGACGGGCAUGAAUUAAUAAGACGAGAAGACCCUGCGGAGCUUCAAUUUACUAGUACAACUAAAAACCACACAAACCCACAGGUCUUUAAACCCCCAUGCCUGUACUAAAAAUUUUGGUUGGGGUGACCUCGGAGCACAGUCAAACCUCCGAACAAUACAUGCUAAGACUACACAAGCCAAAGCAAACCAAUACUUGCAAUUGACCCAAUAACUUGAUCAACGGAACAAGUUACCCCAGGGAUAACAGCGCAAUUCUAUUCUAGAGUCCAUAUCAACAAUAGAGUUUACGACCUCGAUGUUGGAUCAGGACAUCCUAAUGGUGCAGCAGCUAUCAAG